GUCCACUUGGUGAUCUGUUGGCAGUGCUUAAGAAGGAAAUUGUGCAGGACUCAUCUGCAGAGCUUCCCAGUCACAGACCAGUGUUUCAUGGGAGCAACAAACAGUGGAGGCCUGUGGCCAGGAGAGUGGCUCCAGUGUCCAGCUCCCAUAGAAGGUAUUGAAGAUGGCAGUAGGGUUUCACUUCAUCUGCAGCUCCAGGGAUUUUAUCCUUCUCUUGGACAUCACUGGAAUACAGAGCUUUUUGCCCC